rnacentral:sRNA from 1 species
CCCAGCUGGCUCUGCUUCCGGAAUGAACCUCAGCUCCUUGAUAAGACGGGAGGCGCUGCCCUGCUGUGUCCUUCAGCUCCUACUUAAUGGAAGCCUCGCAGAUGCAAGAUGGCUCCAGCAGGCCCAGCAUCACUUCUUCUCAGUGUCCCAAAGCCAGAAGAGAGGCUGUUGUUUUUAAAAGCAGGAAAACUUUCCUAAACUUGGCCAGAAUUGCAUCACAGACCCUUUCCUAAAACAAUUUCCAGCAAAGGGAAUAGACUUACCAUGUCUGGUACAGAUGAAUCAAGAUUUGCCCCUGGGGGCUAGGGAGGGGCUUGCCCCUGCUGAAGCAGACCCUUGCCCAGCAGCUGAACGGAGCCUAGGUUCACCAGAUGGAGGAAGGGACUGGCCACUAACAGUGCCUGACAUACAGAUGUGCUUCCUGUGAUAUCGCUGCCGCCACUGUUCCAAAUGUAAGCAGUUGGCUGUCUGGGAUACUACCUACCUUCGUUUGUGUUCUUAUUAAUAAAAUUAAAGAUUGCUUUCUGGGUAGAGAAAUU